CCCCCACAUCAAGAGAGUGGCUGACGCCAACGCCAACCUGCCAACCGGGGCAAGGUGGUUUCCCUUUCGCAGUAUGCAGAGGGGAUGGGACUCGAAAGUGCUUAUUGAAAGCAUCGGGUAAUCCAACCGGAGUAA
rnacentral:ncRNA from 1 species